GAUGAACGCUGGCGGCGUGCCUAAUACAUGCAAGUCGAGCGAACAGACGAGGAGCUUGCUCCUCUGACGUUAGCGGCGGACGGGUGAGUAACACGUGGAUAACCUACCUAUAAGACUGGGAUAACUUCGGGAAACCGGAGCUAAUACCGGAUAAUCUAUUGAACCGCAUGGUUCAAUAGUGAAAGACGGUUUUGCUGUCACUUAUAGAUGGAUCCGCGCCGCAUUAGCUAGUUGGUAAGGUAACGGCUUACCAAGGCAACGAUGCGUAGCCGACCUGAGGGGGUGAUCGGCCACACUGGAACUGAGACACGGUCCAGACUCCUACGGGAGGCAGCAGUAGGGAAUCGUCCGCAAUGGUCGAAAGCCUGACGGAGCAACGCCGCGUGAGUGAUGAAGGUCUUCGGAUCGUAAAACUCUGUUAUUAGGGAAGAACAAAUGUGUAAGUAACUAUGCACGUCUUGACGGUACCUAAUCAGAAAGCCACGGCUAACUACGUG
rnacentral:rRNA from 1 species